UACGUAGGGAGCAAGCGUUGUCCGGAAUCAUUGGGCGUAAAGAGCGCGUAGGUGGCUUUAUAAGUCCGUUGUGAAAGUCAAAGGCUCAACCUUUGAAAGCCGAUGGAUACUGGCGAGCUAGAGUGCGGUAGAGGAUGGUGGAAUUCCCGGUGUAGCGGUGAAAUGCGUAGAGAUCGGGAGGAACACCCGUGGCGAAGGCGGCCAUCUGGACCAGCACUGACGCUGAGGCACGAAAGCGUGGGGAGCAAACAGG
rnacentral:rRNA from 1 species